AAAAAAAAUAGCAUGAUCAAAAGUCUCCGAAGGGUGCUGUACACUAGUAUCUAUAACUUGGAUUAAUCAACCAAGAAUCUGAUAUGAAUUGAAAAAAGAAGAAUCUAUUUUCUAUCUGUUCUUUCCUAGUCAUCAUCGUUGACAUUCUACAUUAUCUGAAUUUCAUGGAUAAGCAAUAUAAAUUUAGGGAUAUAAGCAAAAACCACCCUUGUUUU
rnacentral:misc_RNA from 1 species